UAGGGAAUAUUGGGCAAUGGGCGAAAGCCUGACCCAGCAACGCCGCGUGUGCGAUGAAGGCCCUCGGGUCGUAAAGCACUUUUCUGAGGAAUGAGAAUGGACAGUACCUCAGGAAUAAGUCUCGGCUAACUACGUGCCAGCAGCCGCGGUAAAACGUAGGAGACGAGCGUUAUCCGGAUUUACUGGGCGUAAAGCGUGUGCAGGCGGUUCGGCAAGUUGGAUGUGAAAUCUCCCGGCUCAACUGGGAGGGGUCGUUCAAUACUACCGAACUUGAGGUCAUCAGAGGAAGGUGGAAUUCCGGGUGUAGUGGUGAAAUGCGUAGAUAUCCGGAGGAACACCAGUGGCGAAGGCGGCCUUCUGGGAUGAUCCUGACGCUCAGACACGAAAGCUAGGGGAGCGAACGG
rnacentral:rRNA from 1 species